rnacentral:hammerhead_ribozyme from 1 species
AUCUAACUGAUGAGUAUCAAAAUAGGACGAAACACGCGUCCUCGAU